UUCUAGAGCUAAUACAUGCAAACAGAGUUCCGACCGGAGACGGNAGGAAUGCUUUUAUUAGAUCAAAACCAAUCGGCGGCGGGCGCGCUCGCGCGUCCGUUCGCCGCUCAACUUGGUGACUCUGAAUAACUUUCGGCUGAUCGCACGGUCCAGCACCGGCGACGCAUCUUUCAAAUGUCUGCCUUAUCAACUGUCGAUGGUAGGUUCUGCGCCUACCAUGGUCGUAACGGGUAACGGGGAAUCAGGGUUCGAUUCCGGAGAGGGAGCCUGAGAAACGGCUACCACAUCCAAGGAAGGCAGCAGGCGCGCAAAUUACCCACUCCCGGCACGGGGAGGUAGUGACGAAAAAUAACGAUACGGGACUCAUCCGAGGCCCCGUAAUCGGAAUGAGUACACUUUAAAUCCUUUAACGAGGAUCAAUUGGAGGGCAAGUCUGGUGCCAGCAGCCGCGGUAAUUCCAGCUCCAAUAGCGUA
rnacentral:rRNA from 1 species